rnacentral:lncRNA from 1 species
UUACUAUUACAGCAGCAGCACAGGCUAUUACUAUGAUGCUGCAUCUGGGUGUUAUUGUGCUGCAUCUACAGGAACAUGGUAUUUCUUUUGCGUUUUUCUUUCAUUCACAAUAAAUUGAUGUUGUUUCUUUCUGUGUGUUCGACCACUUUUUUGUGGAUGCAACAACUUGCUUACUAGUAUGUUUUCCUUUUGGCUAGUACGUUUGUGGUAAUUACUGUAUGACCUGCUUAGAGGAAUCCAAUACCGUUGAACAAUCGUGAUGUGAAUGAAAGUUAUCAUGUUCAUGUGGGCGUUAUCCAAAUAGGGGACUAGAUCAUGGUUGGUAGGAUUGGAUCCUUGAAUGUUAGUAGUGAGUUUGCUCUUUCUUAGUGUAGUUCUGGUUAUCCUGGAACGAUCUGAGGUUCAUUGCAGUCAUUCUCGGUUAUAGAGAAAUUGCUUAUUGUUUUAUUUCAGUGAUUUCAGUGAUCUAGAACUAAAAUACAUCUAGAUACAUCCAUUCCUAUGACAAGUAUUUCCAGACGGAGGGAGUAAUACUUAUCUUAUUUACAGACGGAGGGAGUAUUGCUAGCCUGUUAUAAAUUUAUUGCACAUAACAUGUGCCCACUUAACCAUUGUAAUAAAAAAUGUACCCCAUAUAUAAUAAGGCCCUGCUUGGAAUGGGUGUAAGUUUUUACACUUGUAUUUAUUUUACAGAUGUAAAUUACCGGUCACCUCUUGUUUUCUGCCUAGAAUGAAAAUGACAGGAGGAGGUCUGUAUCCUAAACCGGCCACAAACAAGCUGAAACGCUGAUCCAAACACGGCCUAAGGGUGAAUUGUAUCCCACAUGAAAAAUAGCUUGACUUUAGGCAGGUAAUCACUGGCCGCUGCUGGUGAAGCAUCAGCCUGAGUUGUUUUUAGUUUCUAAUUUGAUGCAUGACCAUAGAACUACAGAAUGCAUCAAACAAAGCUUUUGACACAAGAAAGAUUCAGAACACAAGGGGUAAACUAGCUUUGUCGGUUUGAACAGGACACACUGGUCCGUGGAAACGGGUAUCAGAUCCAAGCUGUACUGUUACCAUAAUCUCAUGUAACCGAGUGAUGGAUAUGCUGGCUCUGAAUUUUCCAUUAUAGCACAAAGUUGCUUGUCGUCAUCCAUAUCAUAUAGCUGCAGCUUGUUGCAGGUCUCUGAAUUCUGGUAGUAUCUGUGCUGAUGUCCUAUAUCGUAUGUGCAGGUACUCGUACGACGAACAAUCAGGCACAUACACAGAAAUGCAUGGCGAACAAACUGGCAUGCACAAAGAAAUAGAGGGAGACGGGGUCAAGGAGUAGCCAAGGUGUAACAGUUCGCCCCCAAGCUAGGUGGUUUCUACUCCCCAGUGUUUUCUUGAUGCGGUGUAGCUUAAGUAUGCAGUAGAGCUGUAGAGCACCCCUGGAUCUCAACUCUCAUGGCCGAAUUAUCACGAGGAAAAGAAUUGGUUACUUAUGGUUGUAGGAUGUUAGUUGAAGUUCAUGCGAUCAUCCACGGAGCGUUUGCUCGGUCAUGAGUUGUCGUUUUUCUCUAACCAUUUGCCGACUUGGUUACGCCGCCCACCAUGUUCAUGCAGAAAGAAACCUGUAACAUGUGUUAUAAUACGUCACCCUUUGUGAAAUUGGAACUUCACUGUAACUUGUGGGAUUCAUAUAGAAGCAAGACGCUUGUUGUUCCUGAUUGAAGUUGCUUUGAAAGAAAUGGUUUUGUAGCUCUGAAUGGUGUGCACUUGGCUAUAUACCAUGAGCACUUGCUCUUCUCUUCGUUGCUCUAUAUAUGUGUGUGUUUCCCACAUGGAAAUUAUGCAUUGUUCUUUGUUAAUACAUACCCCCUUUGUAAACUGAUAUAAGAUCUUUUAGAGUAAUUAGGAGGGUUAACAGCAUUUAGAAAAAGCAUGUAGAAUUGGGGAGACACAGUAUCUGUGGUUUGUGGUCGAGCUCGUGACCAAAUCGAGCGAAGAUCAGAUGGAACAUACCGAGAAGAGUCGGUGACUCGUAAGGCCAAGCGCUGGCUGUUGUAGUCGAUCGGCUGCAGGACAAGAAUUUACCAUAAGGCCUUGUUUGGUAAAUUCUUGUCCUGCAGUUGGGGAUUAUCUUGGUCCAACCUUUAAAUUUUCACAUAUUUCA